rnacentral:rRNA from 1 species
GAUGAACGCUGGCGGCGUGCCUAAUGCAUGCAAGUCGAGCGAAUGGAUUGAGAGCUUGCUCUCAAGAAGUUAGCGGCGGACGGGUGAGUAACACGUGGGCAACCUGCCCUGCAGAUUGGGAUAACUCCGGGAAACCGGGGCUAAUACCGAAUAACAUUGGAAACCUCAUGGUUUCCUUUUAAAAGGCGGCUUCGGCUGUCACUGCAGGAUGGGCCCGCGGCGCAUUAGCUAGUCGGUGAGGUAACGGCUCACCAAGGCGACGAUGCGUAGCCGACCUGAGAGGGUGAUCGGCCACACUGGGACUGAGACACGGCCCAGACUCCUACGGGAGGCAGCAGUAGGGAAUCUUCCGCAAUGGACGAAAGUCUGACGGAGCUACGCCGCGUGAGUGAAGAAGGUUUUCGGAUCGUAAAACUCUGUUGUCAGGGAAGAACAAGUACGGGAGUAACUGACCGUACCUUGACGGUACCUGGCCAGAAAGCCACGGCUAACUACGUGCCAGCCGCCGCAGUAACAC